UACGUAGGGUGCAAGCGUUAAUCGGAAUUACUGGGCGUAAAGCGUGCGCAGGCGGUUUUGUAAGUCUGUCGUGAAAUCCCCGGGCUCAACCUGGGAAUUGCGAUGGAGACUGCAAGGCUAGAAUCUGGCAGAGGGGGGUAGAAUUCGUACGUGUGAGCAGUGUAAAUGCGUAGAGAUGUGGAGGAACACCGAUGGCGAAGGCA
rnacentral:rRNA from 1 species